rnacentral:tRNA from 1 species
GCCCCCAUGGCGCAGCUGGAGAGCGCGUCUCGCUACGAACGAGAAGGCCGGCGGUUCGAAUCCGUCUGGGGGCA